rnacentral:rRNA from 1 species
UACGUAGGGGGCAAGUGUUAUCCGGAUUUACUGGGUGUAAAGGGAGCGUAGACGGUGUGGCAAGUCUGAUGUGAAAGGCAUGGGCUCAACCUGUGGACUGCAUUGGAAACUGUCAUACUUGAGUGCCGGAGGGGUAAGCGGAAUUCCUAGUGUAGCGGUGAAAUGCGUAGAUAUUAGGAGGAACACCAGUGGCGAAGGCGGCUUACUGGACGGUAACUGACGUUGAGGCUCGAAAGCGUGGGGAGCAAACAGG